rnacentral:lncRNA from 1 species
UUUUUUAAUUAUGGAGCCGGUGUUGAAAAUACGAUAUGUGUAAUCAAACAGCUUUGAAUUUUUUUAAUAUAUAUUUCGUGCUUAAACACCUUUCUACCUUGACGUUUAAUACAAGAAGAGAAAUUUGACAUUAUUUAUAGCAUUUUCAAAGAAAAUUAAAUAAACAAUAUUCAAAUAAAAAUAUUUGAGAAACCAAUUCGUCAAAUUAGUUUAGCAAAAUAUAGGGAAAAAAAAAAGAAAAAAAGAAAAGAAAGAGAGAAUAUUAUAGACAGGG